GUCGUGAGAGAAUACAGCAGCAACCCAGUGAAGAAAAGUGGUUUGAAACAUAUGCUGAGAAGUGGGUAGGCGCGUAGUUGGCCAUGUGGUGAUGAGAAUAAGGAUGCCGUGCAGCGUCCCAUACCAUUCAAAGUUGCAUAUAGUAGAAAGUCUCGAUUAUUUUGCUUACUAAAGAGCCUGUGAGAAAUACUAUUAUUUAAAUGCAUAUUUAAGUGAACCAUAAAGGGCACAAAAGGAAAGUUUGGAGCACCUGCGUAUCAUCUGAAGCGUGGGAUGUUUUAAAGAACUACAGGUAUACUGUCAGGAGUCUUCUCUUUAAUAAAGGAGCAAGAACAUCACAGAGCUUGAAUAACACAGACUAUAUUGUAUAUAAAAAAGAAUGAGAGAAAUUGAAAAAGGUGUUGUACCACGAGUAGGUAAAAUUUCUCUCACGCUGGGAAGCUUUAGCCAUUUUCUUUGCAUUUUGGUUCCCCUUCUGAACCAAAGAAAAGAUAAAAUUUAUUUUGACUCUGAAUAACAUUUAUGUGACAUAUGUCUAUGAACUAGAUCAAGACGGAAGUGAAAUGUCUACUUUCUAGUACGUUAUAAUUGAUAUAUAAUCUCAGAUCAUGGUUAGAGAUUCUCUAUUGCAAAGCCUUUGAUUUUUCCACAAAAUAUUCGCCUAAAGAGCAGCUGAUGCUCACCUAUAGCAUGUGAGCGGAAGAGAUGAUGUAGAAAAGAGAGAGAGAUGAUAUGAGAGAGAUCCUCGAAACAGGACGUGCGUCCUUGUGAGGAGAUCCUGCUUCCGGGUUCUCAUCUAUAUAUGUAUAUUAAAAAUUCACUAGAGAAAUAACCAAUAUGAUCUUGAAGAAGUACACCUGG